UUCCGGUUGAUCCUGCCGGACCCCACUGCUAUCGGGAUAGGACUAAGACAUGCUAGUCCUCCCAGCUAGGCGCGGCGCACAGCUCAGUAACGCGUGGCUAACCUGCCCUCGGGACGGGAAUACCCCCGGGAAACUGGGGCUAAUCCCCGAUAGGUGAAGAACUCUGGAAUGAGUCUCCGCCCAAAAGAGGCGCCGCCCAAGGAUGGGGCCGCGACCGAUCAGGUAGUUGGUGAGGCAACGGCUCACCAAGCCUUUAACCGGUGCGGGCCGUGAGAGCGGGAGCCCGGAGAUGGGCACUGAGACAAGGGCCCAGGCCCUACGGGGCGCAGCAGUCGCGAAAACUUUGCAAUACACGAAAGUGUGACAGGGCUAUCCCGAGUGCCAUCCGCUGAGGAAGGCUUUUACCCAGUAUAGAAAGCUGGGAGAAUAAGGAGAGGGCAAGACUGGUGUCAGCCGCCGCGGUAAAACCAGCACCUCAAGUGGUCAGGAUGAUUAUUGGGCCUAAAGCAUCCGUAGCCGGCUCUGUAAGUUUUCGGUUAAAUCUGUACGCUCAACGUACAGGCUGCCGGGAAUACUGCAGAGCUAGGGAGUGGGAGAGGUAGACGGUACUCGGUAGGAAGGGGUAAAAUCCUUUGAUCUAUUGAUGACCACCAGUGGCGAAGGCUGUCGGCUAGAACGCGCCCGACGGUGAGGGAUGAAAGCUGGGGGAGCGAACCGGAUUAGAUACCCGGGUAGUCCCAGCUGUAAACGAUGCAGGCUAGGUGUUUGGACGGCUACGUGCCGUUCUAGUGCCGCAGGGAAGCCGUUAAGCCUGCCGCCUGGGGAGUACGGCCGCAAGGCUGAAACUUAAAGGAAUUGGCGGGGGAGCACCACAAGGGGUGAAGCUUGCGGUUUAAUUGGAUUCAACGCCGGA
rnacentral:rRNA from 1 species